rnacentral:rRNA from 1 species
GACGAACGCUGGCGGCGUGCUUAAUACAUGCAAGUCGAACGGAAAGGCCCUGCUUUUGUGGGGUGCUCGAGUGGCGAACGGGUGAGUAACACGUGAGUAACCUGCCCUUGACUUUGGGAUAACUUCAGGAAACUGGGGCUAAUACCGGAUAGGAGCUCCUGCUGCAUGGUGGGGGUUGGAAAGUUUCGGCGGUUGGGGAUGGACUCGCGGCUUAUCAGCUUGUUGAUGGGGUAGUGGCUUACCAAGGCUUUGACGGGUAGCCGGCCUGAGAGGGUGACCGGCCACAUUGGGACUGAGAUACGGCCCAGACUCCUACGGGAGGCAGCAGUGGGGAAUAUUGCACAAUGGGCGGAAGCCUGAUGCAGCAACGCCGCGUGCGGGAUGACGGCCUUCGGGUUGUAAACCGCUUUCGCCUGUGACGAAGCGUGAGUGACGGUAAUGGGUAAAGAAGCACCGGCUAACUACGUG